CAUUUGGCUGCCUCACUGGUACAUGUGUUGGUGUUCACAACAGCUUUUGAGGAUCCCUUCUCCUUCAAAUGUGUUCACUCAGUCAUGCUGCUGGAGAAUUAUGAAGCUGGGAGGAAUCUCAGUAGUCCCCAGUUGUUAUGUGCUGUAAGGAUGGACAACUUGGCCUACGGGCAUUCUUUGCAAUGACAUUAUCUUUCAGACCAGUGUAAGCCAAUGAUGAAGGGAGCAGUUGUAUGCUUGCUUGCUCAGUAAGCAGGGAAGAAGACUUUUAAGGCAUCCUUAUAAGGUGGAGGCAUGUAUCAUGUAAUAAAAUGAUUCAGAGGAGCAUUUCAUCACUUUGAUUAGGUGCUGCUGGAGUCCGGAGAGCACUUCUCUGUUUUGUGGGUACCCACACACCGACGUUCGCCGGCAUAUGAACUCGGCACAUUGAUUGCUGCCGCUUGAACUCUGGACUUGCCUUUCUCAUUGGUUGUUUGCUUUAACCACAGCGCUGAAUGG